rnacentral:rRNA from 1 species
GCAAGUCGCGCGAGAAAGCUUCAGCGUGCUGGAGCAAGGAAAGUGGCGCACGGGUGAGUAACGCGUGGGUAAUCUACCCUCGAAUUGGGGAUAACAUCGCGAAAGCGAUGCUAAUACCGAAUGAAAUCCUGAAAAUACAUGUUUUCGGGAUCAAAGAUGGCCGCUACAUGUAAGCUAUUGUUUGGGGAUGAGCUCGCGUAAGAUUAGCUUGUUGGUAGGGUAAUGGCCUACCAAGGCUACGAUGGUUAGCUGGUCUGAGAGGAUGAUC